rnacentral:tRNA from 1 species
AAAAUCCGUCGACUUUUAAAAUCGUGAAGGUUCAAGUCCCUCUAUCCCCA